rnacentral:lncRNA from 1 species
AAAAAAAAAAAAGAUAUACUUGUGCUCCAAACUGCAAAAGGGAAUCUGCACGUACAUUUUAUUAAUAGCUCGGUAAGUAUACACCAUUAGUGGUUUCUUUGUUCUAAGUCAGCCCAGGUGCUCCUGUGGGAGUAAAGGUUGAAAUCAUCAGACGUUUAAGAACACUCAGCAAUUCAAGAAGCCCUGAGGGCAAGAUGGGGCCAGCAAGAUUAGUCAGUAUUCUGGCAGGCAACGCUCCUGGGUGCCACACACAACAAAGGAAAGGACACAAAGGUGAGAGGAAGUCAUGUUGGGGUGUCUGGGGAAUGAGAGUAAACAAGAUCAUGGAUGCAUGUAUGAUGUUUAUUUAUUUCUGUAGGGGGCCGUUUCCUACAUAAUGGUGCCUGAAGACACCAAGAUGUAAAUUACUUCACAGGCGCUGGGUAAUCUCCAUUCCUUUGAUCUCUGCCUAUCCCGUGGCUCAUUUGGCCUGAGGAGCUGAAGCCAUUCAUAGGGUAACACGUCCCAGGCGGCUGGCCAGCCUUUUUAAGGGAUGGGUUUCUUAGUUCAGAGUCUCCGCUCUGGUAAGCUUAUGCUCUCCCCAACUCUCAAGAUGCAUUAAAGCUUGUCUGCAGAAGGAUCCGAGUGUCCUGUGCGUGUAUUUCUUGCCGGCGAGAAAAUACAGCACGCGCAAGACAUAUGGUGCCGAAACCCGGGAACAUGUGAACAUCGCUGGCACCGCGGAGACCCCUCUAACGGGGCGGAUUCAGAACUGCAGGGUGGUAAAUUUGGAGAGGAUGAAGAGAAUCCCCUGUGGAUCCCAGAAAGACUCAACCCGAAGAGCCCCUUCGGACCUUCAAAAGUUGGAACUCCACCCUCUCCCCGGGAGUUGAGAGCCGCUAUUGUUAUCCAGAUUAACUCCUGUCCUUGGCGGAGAGAUUGUAUCGCUAAAGGGGUGGGGGUGGAAUUGUUUGAUGCAGCCGUUUGCAGAUUGGUGUUACUUUUGGCUGGCAUGUAAGCUCGAGGGCUCAAAACUAAAGAGAGAUCGCCCAAGCGCUUAUAUUUUGGCUAACUAUGCUUAAGCAAUAGGUCGCCGGCCAGACAGCUCUUGCACACCCGGAGCCUAGGCUCAUUGCACAGGGUAGAGUGUCUGGUUUGGGCAGCCCAAUGAGGGAUGCUGAGCAAAGGCAUCGCACAGAGUUGCCUAAUAUGCAGGCUUCUCUGAGAGGUACGUUGACCUGCAUAAGGGUUACCUGCCCCGAG